rnacentral:rRNA from 1 species
CAGCCGCCACGGGAAUACGAAGGGUGCAAGCGUUACUCGGAAUUACUGGGCGUAAAGCGUGCGUAGGUGGUGGUUUAAGUCCGUUGUGAAAGCCCUGGGCUCAACCUGGGAAUUGCAGUGGAUACUGGGUCACUAGAGUGUGGUAGAGGAUAGUGGAAUUUCCGGUGUAGCAGUGAAAUGCGUAGAGAUCGGAAGGAACAUCUGUGGCGAAGGCGACUAUCUGGGCCAACACUGACACUGAGGCACGAAAGCGUGGGGAGCAAACAGGAUUAGAUACCCGCGUAGUCCCUGUCUCUUAUAC